GAUGAACGCUGACAGAAUGCUUAACACAUGCAAGUCAACUGUGGCGGACGGGUGAGUAACGCGUAAAGAACUUGCCUCACAGCUAGGGACAACAUUUGGAAACGAAUGCUAAUACCUGAUACUGUGAGAGAGCUUUGCGUCCCAUUAGCUAGUGGGAGAGGUAACGGCUCACCAAGGCGAUGAUGGGUAGCCGGCCUGAGAGGGUGAUCGGCCACAAGGGGACGGAGAUACGGCCCUUUCUCGUACGGGAGGCAGCAGUGGGGAAUAUUGGACAAUGGACCAAAGUCUGAUCCAGCAACUCUGUGUGCAAGAUGAAGUUUUCGGAAUGUAAAGUGCUUUCAGUUGGGAAGCGGUACCAACAGAAGAAGGCACGGAUAAAUACGUGCCAGCAGCCGCGGUAAUUC
rnacentral:rRNA from 1 species